UGGUAUCCAUGGUCGCCUGUGUUAACAAGCAAAAAACAAACUGUUACAUGAUGGCACAACAUGUUUUUAGACGAGGAAAACAAUUCGUAGCAAUUUCUUCAACAAUUUUUUCAGGCUCAACUUGAUCAGUCAAAGUUGAAUGUUGAGGACGAGAAUAUGCUUCUUGAGGUUCUUGAAUGCAAUUGAAAUUUGGUUGAAUAGGUGAAGUCGCAGAUGGUAAAUAAACAUAAAUGCGGCCUUCAUUUACUUCACUGUUGUAUUUUAUAGAUUGCUGCUCAAGCAUUCGCACAAUUGCAGGUCGUAGUUUUUCCACAUGAUUAGCACUGUGAUUACCGCGCCCAACUAUACUAAAAAAGAGUUAAUUUUAAUUAAGCGUAAAACAUACAUAUGUAAAUGAUUGUCACCACGUCGGAUGCAAUUCUCAAUUCGCUGUUGUACUGCUUGUACAGCUUCAUCGAUGUACAGACCAUGUAAAUCAAUUUCAUCGGGAUUGCAUUGAGAGUUUUUAUAUAAAUAAAUGG